GCGUUUGCGGGUGCCGAACCUAUGGCUCGUUUUGUGUGGCUCAGCCUGUUGGGAACCGAUUGCUUGACUAUAUGGCUGUCUAUUCAGCCUGGUUGGGCUUUUGGGACCUUGUUUGUACGGGUGUCGGGUGGCGUUUGUCAUUCUGCACUCGAGCUGUAUGCCUAUGAUUGCUCAAGGGCUGGUUUCGGCUAGUCAUUGGGUUAUUGUAUGGUCAUAUGGCUUUUGAAUUGUUAAGCCGACUGGCUUGUUCUGAUCGUCGAGUGGGUCACUUGUGGCUCAUUUUGACUGUGCUUAUGCGAUAUACGAUUUAUAUCGAGGCGCGAGAGGGUACCCCACUGCGCCGGUAUUGCUGCUCCGUGCGGGAAAUUGUAGACCGUGCGGUUGCUCAAUCCAUUCAUACAAGAGGUGUCAAAUUUAUAUUGGUCCGCACAAGUGGGUACUCUUGUGUGGGCAAAGGUUUUCAAUUGUUUCGCUUCCACUUUGUGGUUGCGCGCGCACUCAUUCCUUCGGGUUUGGGUUGCUUGAAAGAGUGAAU
rnacentral:misc_RNA from 1 species